rnacentral:sRNA from 1 species
UAAUAAACAUAGAAAAAGGAGCUGAGCUACCAACUCAACUCCAACGUAGAACCGUUAAAAAGACGGUAGCUCGUAUAACAGAUUUAAUC